rnacentral:tRNA from 1 species
GGACUGUAGCUCAGUGGUAGAGUGCUUGUCUAACAUGUGGGAAGCACUGGGUUCGAACCUCAGCACCA